AAGGCUUGACAUGGGCCGGAUCGCCGCAGAAAUGUGGUUUCCCCUUUGGGGCCGGUUCACAGGUGGUGCAUGGUUGUCGUCAGCUCGUGUCGUGAGAUGUUGGGUUAAGUCCCGCAACGAGCGCAACCCUCGUUCCAUGUUGCCAGCGCGUAAUGGCGGGGACUCAUGGGAGACUGCCGGGGUCAACUCGGAGGAAGGUGGGGAUGACGUUUACGUGCACUU
rnacentral:misc_RNA from 1 species